CGGCGUGCCUAAUACAUGCAAGUCGAACGGUCUUUCUAUGGAAGCUGCUUCCACUGAGAAGAUAGUGGCGAACGGGUGAGUAACACGUGGGUAACCUGCCCAUAAGAGGGGGAUAACAUCCGGAAACGGGUGCUAAUACCGCAUAGUUUUCUUGAUCGCAUGAUUGAGAAAGGAAAGACGGCCUUUGUGCUGUCGCUUAUGGAUGGACCCGCGGCGUAUUAGUUAGUUGGUGAGGUAACGGCUCACCAAGACGAUGAUACGUAGCCGACCUGAGAGGGUGAUCGGCCACAUUGAGACUGAGACACGGCCCAAACUCCUACGGGAGGCAGCAGUAGGGAAUCUUCCGCAAUGGACGAAAGUCUGACGGAGCAACGCCGCGUGAGUGAAGAAAAGGGUUUUCGGAUCGUAAAACUCUGUUGUCAGAGAAGAACAAGUUGGAGAGUAACUCGCUCCAGCCUUGACGGUAUCUGACCAGAAAGCCACGGCUAACUACGUGCCAGCCGCAGC
rnacentral:rRNA from 1 species